rnacentral:rRNA from 1 species
AUUGAACGCUGGCGGCAGGCCUAACACAUGCAAGUCGAACGAGUGGCGUACGGGCGAGUAAUGUUUGGGAACUUGUUUGAUGGAGGGGGAUCACGACUGGAAAUUGUAGCUAAUACCGCAUACCUGCAGAUGUGCCUUGAUGGGAUUCUCUAGUUGGGGGGGUAACGGCUCAUCAUGGCGACGAUCCCUAGCUGGUCUGAGAGGUUGACCAUGAACACUGGAACUGAGACACGGUCCAGACGCCUACGGGAGGCAGCAGUGGGGAAUAUUGCACAAUGGGCGCAAGCCUGAUGCAGCCAUGCCGGGUGUAUGAAGAAGGCCUUCGGGUUGUAAAGUACUUUCAGCGGGGAGGCGUUACCCGCAGAAGAAGCACCGGCGAACUCCGUGCCAGCAGCCGCGGUAAUAC